AGUGAACGCUGGCGGUAGGCCUAACACAUGCAAGUCGAACGGCAGCACAGUAAGAGCUUGCUCUUACGGGUGGCGAGUGGCGGACGGGUGAGGAAUACAUCGGAAUCUACUUUUUCGUGGGGGAUAACGUAGGGAAACUUACGCUAAUACCGCAUACGACCUACGGGUGAAAGCAGGGGAUCUUCGGACCUUGCGCGAUUGAAUGAGCCGAUGUCGGAUUAGCUAGUUGGCGGGGUAAAGGCCCACCAAGGCGACGAUCCGUAGCUGGUCUGAGAGGAUGAUCAGCCACACUGGAACUGAGACACGGUCCAGACUCCGACGGGAGGCAGCAGUGGGGAAUAUUGGACAAUGGGCGCAAGCCUGAUCCAGCCAUACCGCGUGGGUGAAGAAGGCCUUCGGGUUGUAAAGCCCUUUUGUUGGGAAAGAAAAGCAGCAGGUUGAUACCCCGCUGUUCUGACGGUACCCAAAGAAUAAGCACCGGCUAACUUCGUG
rnacentral:rRNA from 1 species